CCUACGGGAGGCAGCAGUCGAGAAUCAUUCACAAUGGGGGAAACCCUGAUGGCGCGACGCCGCGUGGGGGAAUGAAGGUCUUCGGAUUGUAAACCCCUGUCAUGUGGGAGCAAAUUAAAAAGAUAGUACCACAAGAGGAAGAGCCGGCGAACUCUGUGCCAGCAGCCGCGGUAAUACAGAGGUCUCAAGCGUUGUUCGGAAUCACUGGGCGUAAAGCGUGCGUAGGCUGUUGCGUAAGUCGUGUGUGAAAGGCGCGGGCUCAACCCGCGGACGGCACAUGAUACUGCGAGACUAGAGUAAGGGAAGGGGAACCGGAAUUCUCGGUGUAGCAGUGAAAUGCGUAGAUAUCGAGAAGAACACUCGUGGCGAAGGCGGGUUCCUGGACAGUAACUGACGCUGAGGCACGAAGGCCAGGGGAGCGAAAGGGAUUAGAUACCCUAGUAGUC
rnacentral:rRNA from 1 species